CCCUUAGAUGUCCUGGGCCGCACGCGUGCUACACUGACGCCUACAGCGAGUACUUCCCAGCCCCGAGAGGUGGCUGGUAAUCAGCAAUAGGCGUCGUGAUGGGGAUAGAUCUUUGGAAUUAUGGAUCUUGAACGAGGAAUACCUAGUAAGCGCAGGUCAUUAGCCUGCGCUGAUUAAGUCCCUGCCCUUUGUACACACCGCCCGUCGCUCCUACCGAUUUCGAGUGGUCCGGUGAAUCUUUCGGACUGCGCGCGGCCUCGUGCCGUGUCGCGGAAAGUCAGGUAAACCUUAUCACUUAGAGGAAGGAGAAGUCGUAACA
rnacentral:rRNA from 1 species